GCAAAAUAUUUGACAUUGACAUUUUACUUUUGAAUUGCCAAAUUUGUCAAUGUCAAUAUCGAAUGUUUUCGUUUUACUUCGCCUCAAUUUUAGUGUUUCAACCAGCCAGCGUAUUAUUGUGGCGUAGUUUUACUAAUUUAUCAAUUAAUUCUGAAUUAUUGUGAGUGCGUGUAGCUGUGAAGCGGUAUUAAUACAUUGGUGAUCAUAACCUGUUUGAGUUCAAAUAUGUUGGACGGUAGCCUGAUGGAUAUGGUGAUCACUACAGUAGGCGUUCUAUUGACCAUGGCUUUGCUAAGCUGUUUAUGCUGCAUUUGUAUGAAAUUCAGUGACCUGAAGUUGAAGAGCUACGUAAUAGAAAUGGCGAAGAAAAGAGGUGUUAAAAUGGAUGUUGAUAAACUUGAACAUAAGUACAAAACUUGCCAAUCACCACACUUAAAUGAAAACUGUACUAUUGUGGUACCCGACGUAGUUUAUGUGCUUUAGCUUGGUACCUGCGUUAUAACAAACAUCUGGACUAUAUGGAAGCUACAUAAGAAAAGGCUCAAGUCCAAUAUCAUGUUCAUGGUGAGUUCCAUAACUGAUCUAGCCUUACAACUUCCAACUGGCCAAAAACUCUUCAUGUUCAAUGAUGGGCUACCAGUUCGACUGAUUCAUUUAUAAUUUUAGCUGUUUUAAUAUUUCAGUGUCAUCAAAAUUGGUUAUAGAAAAUGAAAUAUAUGUGUACUCGUUAAUUUAUGUAGUUGGAGAUGUGAUGAUGGGAUUUGUAGAUAAGCAAUUGGGGUUUUGAAAGGACUUUAGAUAAGUAUUUGUUUGUGCUAGACAUGGCGAAGUAACAGGCCUAUUUCAUUCAAAUUUGUUCCGUCUGAUUUCAAAUAUGCAGUCUAAUGGUGUUCAAUUAUUGCCAAGAAUUUUGUAUAAAAUGUAAAAUAUAGUAAUUAUAUUUUAGUCCUCUAAAGGCUCAUUUCAAUUCAUACAUUAAUUAAAUAAUUGAUUUAAGUAUGUAUCAUUUUUGAAGUAUUAAUUUUGAUAUGUGAAGUAUAAUAAGUUCAAAUCAUACCAUGACUUUAUUUGUAUUUGACAUAUUUUAUACAA